AUCAAUCUCAAAAGCUCUCCAUCACAAACACUUCAUCAAUCAUCUUCAUCAUCAUCUAUGUCAUAAACAUAUGAUGCUUCAGUUGAUGUCGUAGUGACAGAAGGGAGAAGGAAGAAGAACAAAACAAAAGUGCUGGCUUGAUGGAAUAGAACGACGGUGGAGUGGAUUGAGUAUCACGGGGCGAAGUGGAAGAAGGGAGAAAACAGCGGAUGAAAUGAAUGAAACCUAAUUUUGGAAGAAGGGAGCAUACGGUGGAAGUGAAGUUUAAUAUGAGAGAACAUUGGAUUGAGAUUUGGGCUUUCAUUCCAAGCCCAAUUUUCAAUUAAAGCAAAAAAUU
rnacentral:lncRNA from 1 species